CGACCGCACCACCGCCAUGUAUAGGCGGCGC
rnacentral:sRNA from 1 species